rnacentral:rRNA from 1 species
CCUUGUACACACCGCCCGUCACACCAUGGGAGUCGAUUGCUCCAGAAGUCAUCUCACCAAGAGGUGCCCAAGGAGUGCUCGGUAACUGGGGUG